AACUUAUGUAAUUGAAAAUUUUCUCUAUCUCUCUUACCUUUUGGGACGGGAUUUCUAAGUUCUUCAAUUUGCCUCUAGAGUUGCUGAAACCACUCUGUUGAUAGCAAUUGAUAUCACUUUCCUAUAUGUAGACCUUACUUCUAAAUUGCUAGAACACUUCAAUUUAAAGAGAUGCAUAAGGACUUUUCUAGGAACUCUGUAUAUCUAAACAAACAUAUUCAGAAUUCUCUUUCCAAACAUAAAAAUAUGGAUCAAUCUUGAUUCCAGUGAAAUGGGCCUUUUUUAAAAAAUAUCAUAAAAUCUUGAAUAUUAAUAUUCCUCAGACUGAGUUAAUCCAUAAAUGGUUCCCUUUGCAAGAAACACUUCGCUCAAAUCAUCAUUGUAACCAGGUGAAUGUUUCAUAUACAGUUAUCUCUCAUUCUACCAACCUUCGGUUUACAAGUUUUCGAAAACAAAAAGCAGAAAUCUAUAUCAUGUUUCAAUCCACUCCCAUUUUUUCUUUCAUCCAAUUUCAUUUCCUUCUCUCUCUUCCAACGGUACAAUCGCAUACAUCGCAAAUCCCAGCAAAAAAUGAUACCGAUCGAUAGGAGGGUGGAGACAGGCCAAAUACCCCUAACGAAGUAGGGAGUCAAAGGUUUACGAGAUAUAGAGGCUGAAAGUGUUUCACAAAGCGUGUAGUUUGAUACUGCUUGGUCUGGCUAGGGUAUGCAGCGCGAGGCAUCCUCUUCCCACGCUCCGCUAUCUAUGCCACUAGUGAAACUUUUAAUUUCUAUAUCUGGUUAACCAUUGAUUCCUAGUUCAUUAGGGAUAUUUUGCGUGUCUGGACUCUCCGUAUCGAUCCGUACCA
rnacentral:lncRNA from 1 species